CGCUGUCCUCCCGUCGUCUUAUCCAUUUCUCCUGCGACAACGACGGCGGCUUCGCCCAUUCCGUCAUGCGCCGGCUACGGCCACCGCCGUGCCUCGCGCGGGAGGAUGGAGCGCGAGCCUGCACCUGUGGCCGCGAGCAGGCAAAGCUGUGAGCUAAACCGUCCCGACCCGGAUUGGAGUUCGCUGCUAUAAGUUGAAUUGUUCUUGGCCGGAAUCGUGAACCAGGCCAGCGCCACCAGCGAGCAGUGCACCGUCGCUUGGGCAUCAUGUCGCCUUUGAGUACGCCGGAGGAACAGGCACCGAGUUCGCCUUUGAGUACGCCGGAGGAACCGGCACCGUGUUCGCCGGAAUUCUUGAUCCAGAGAAGCACUGUGAGUCCAACGGUGGCUACAACAGAGGUCCCAAAGACGUCUGAUAGAACUCAGGUGGAGGCCAAGGAGAUUCGGCUCUCGGACAUGCCACCAGUAACACUUGAUGAUAGAAACAUGCACAUUAAAACAGAUGACACCUCUGAAAUGAACAUUCCAGAGGAUUUCGAUAACCGACCUUCAAAAAAAGCAAAAAAUUCUGAAUCAGGUGUUUUGGAGCCAUCACCAAUGUCAUUCAUGGCGUACAAGGACGAUUUGGAGUGGUCCCUUAGGGUACCGGCGACGGGGUUGUGGAGCAGACGACGGGCUGUGACACGUGAAUUGAUACCGGGUCACCAGCGUGCACCCGCGGCAAAGAAAGCGGCCAACAGUGGUCUCAACUAUGGCAAUCAGGAUUUAGGAGAUCGGCUUGGUGAUCUGCGUGGUGGGUGUGUCAUCUCCAUGCACUGGUAUGCUAUUGUUCUCCCUUUCUAUUAGCAUUUCUCAUCAAUCAAAUACAUAAAUUGGAUGUUCAGACAGAUUCUGGUCUACAGUUCGACCCAAAUGAAUCGAUGUUUCUGUACUAUUUCUGUUUACGUUGUUGUUUAGUUACUUUUUUUAUCGUCCUAUAAUUUCUCAGUUUUCUGACUUCUACUACAAAACAUGUGCCAAUUGUAAUUGUGUUUAAAAGAUUGAUUCGUGCAGAAUCUUUGCCCAAGCUAAUGCGUGAAUUAGAAUGCAAAUUAUCAUAGAUGCAGAGUAGAAACCAAACUGAUACCCAAGCUGGGAGCUAUUUUCCAGUUUGGCAUAUAAUGAAUUGAUUGGAGCAGGACAUGUUGUCUAUUUUAACUCAAUCCACUGCUCUCUUUGAAUUUCUUUAUCAUCGUUGUAUUUUGUUGCAUCUGGAUCUCUGAGAAAAUUUAUAUCUUAUGCCCCUUUUUUAGGUUGGUGCAAAAGCAUCAUCACUGUUCUAUUACUAAUGUGGUCGUAACUUAGGCUACUGUCUGAGGCUUCUUGUGUCCCCUUCUUAGGUUGGCACACAAGCUGUAAUUUAGGCUACCGUUGCAAUGAGGACAAAACACAGGAUAUGGUAAUAAUUGGUACUGUCUAGAGUGCUCGAGUAAAUCUAUGGAAUUUAUCAUGUUAGCAACACUGACCUAGGAAAAAGUUACAAGUAGAGAAUUUUGUACUAAAUAGGCCUGAUUUGUUUGAUUUGUGGAUAUGACGUCUGCACCUUAUUUGUGAGCUGCCACGAAAUUAACGAAAAAUAAAAUGUAUUAUUGUGAUUUGUUACUAAUAUACUGACCACAAAUUUUGGUGUUCAGUUUGUCAUUUAUGCAUCCUACAGGACAGUAGUACUGAAUUAUAUAUGAGUUCUCGAGAGAACAAAGUUUGUUAUCCAGCAGAUGAAUGGUAGAAGUACAUUCAGAUUUAGUCAGGUUUCAGGUUGCUUCCAUGACAAUACUUCAAAUAUGGGAGCCUGGUUUGCCUAUCGUCAACAGGUUUGGACUCUCUUUGCGUGGGCAUUUUUUUUCAAAGCGUACUUGUAUAAAAUAAACUGCAUUGGUGUUCACUUUAUAUCUGUCCAUGGUUUUGCUCACAUCACAAAUAUUUGACAGCUAGAUAGUUCCCGAGUUUGGUGCAACCGAAACACUUAUAAUCCAGUCCAACAUAGAUUGUUUACCCCUAUUUGACAUUCAUUUAUCUUUCUCGAUUAUUCUUCCAUGAAGCUUUUAAAUCUGUUAGAAAGGCCUGAUUGUUUGUUCAUACAAUUUAAGUUGGACAUUGCAUUUAUUUUCCUUGAUUAUUCUUCCAUAACGCUUUCAAAUCUGCUAGAAAGAGAUGCAUACAUCACGUACUUUUUUUUUUGCACGUGUAGUUCGGUUAUAUCUAGAUCUGAUAAUGAUUCAUCACACUUGAGUAAAUUACCUUACAGAUUAAGGCGAGAAAUCUAGAUUUUUAUUAUGUGUUUAGCUAAUUGUUACUCCCUCUGUAAAGAAAUAUAAGAGCGUUUAUGUCUCUAGACAUGACAAUGCAUAAUAAUAGUUGUUGUAAGGGAGUUGAAACUCAUGAGAAGUGAGAAAAAAUGUAAGACUGAUCCAUUGACUACCAGGUUUAUGAGUGCCCUUAUUACUACGUGGAAGGUACCUCUUAAUUCCUUCUUUUUAUGUGGGGACCCUCUUCAUUCCUUGAUCAUAGCAUGGCUUGAGGCGAAGCUAAGUGGAGGCAAAGAAAUAUCAGACAUAGUCGGCGGCAAGUUGGUUCUACCAACGCAGGAAUGUUGUUGUUGACGAAUGUGAAAUAUCAGUGAUUCACUAUCAUUAAUAAUUUGGUGUUCAUAUUCAUA